rnacentral:rRNA from 1 species
UACGUAGGGCGCAAGCGUUAUCCGGAAUUAUUGGGCGUAAAGAGCUCGUAGGCGGUUUGUCGCGUCUGCCGUGAAAGUCCGGGGCUCAACUCCGGAUCUGCGGUGGGUACGGGCAGACUAGAGUGAUGUAGGGGAGACUGGAAUUCCUGGUGUAGCGGUGAAAUGCGCAGAUAUCAGGAGGAACACCGAUGGCGAAGGCAGGUCUCUG